GUGCCAGCCGCCGCGGUAACACCAGCAGCUCAAGUGGUAGCCGCUUUUAUUGGGCCUAAAGCGUCCGUAGCCGGACCGGCAAGUCCCUUGUGAAAUCGGGCGGCUUAACCGUUCGGCUUGCAAGGGAAACUGUUGGUCUUGGGGCCGAUAGGCGCCGAGGGUACUCCAGGGGUAGCGGUGAAAUGCUAUAAUCCCUGGGGGACCGCCGGUGGCGAAAGCGCUCGACGAGGUCGGACCCGACGGUGAGGGACGAAGGCCAGGGGAGCGAACCGGAUUAGAUACCCGGGUAGUCCUGGCUGUAAAGGAUGUGGACUAGGUGCUGGGUGUUCCUCGGGAAUGCUCGGUGCCGAAGGGAAGCCGUUAAGUCCACCGCCUGGGAAGUACGGCCGCAAGGCUGAAACUUAA
rnacentral:rRNA from 1 species